rnacentral:lncRNA from 10 species
AUUCCAGAUCAUUGUUAUUUUAAUUGGUGCCCCUCAUAGUAUGACAAACCCUUAGGGAGCCUCUGGGUCAGUAUUUCAACUGACCUAAAUUGUUUCUCUCUUCCUUCUUCCUCUAUAAAUCAUUUUGCCUCCCUGAGUGGUUGAAAUCUCAAUUCUGUUCUUCCUGUCUUCUGUCUCAUGCCUGAAGACUGCAUUAGAGAAUUAUAAUAAUCUACAGUAUUAUAUGAGUGGCAGAAACACUGCUCUAAGUAACCGAAAAGACUCUGCUUGUAUAACUGAGUUGUCCCUUACAAUGUUGUUGGUCUUGACUUUGCUUCCGGAAUGAAAUACUAAUUAAAUCAUUUUAUAAUAUGAAAACAAAAAAUAAAACCAUUUUAUUUUUAUAUUCCCAGAAGUAAUAGCAAUCUAUCGAUAGCUUUUUGGAAGUUUCUCAGUUGACAUUUCUGUCGGAAAAAUGUGAGUCAUGUAUUAUAUUGUUCCCUUCAAGUAAUUAAUAUACAAGUCAAAGCAAAAAGUUGUUAUAGAUGCUUAUUAUCUUUCAUGACCUUUUGCUGUUAGAAAUUUUUGUCUUUUUCAAAUCAUUUGAAAUUUACCUUCAGAUAGUGUAUUUCUUUUUUCUGUUUCAAUACCAGCAUAUAUUUUAGAGUAUAUAAUAACUCGAAACAAGCAGAAACUCACUAUAGAUGUUGUCAGGUAUCCUCUUCCCUGUUCAAAUCUUCUGUUCAUUCCUCCCCAGAUUGUUCAUUUGGUCGAAGUGUUUAACCCUCCCAGAUAGAUGAGAACCAUCCCUUGUCAAGGACAUGAGUGACUAUGAAGGCUGGCUGCAAACUCAAAAAAGGACUGAGUCAGAAGGCACCUGUCUAUAUAAACACACUGCACUCCAGGUGAAUAGUAUGCCCAAACAGAGGCCACAGAGAUGAACAAACUCACCUCUUGAAUGGGGAAAAGAUGAGCGGAUCGACUCAUAGGGCAAUACAAAAAUGACAGCAUUCAGGAUGUUAAGGGUUCCGAGAAGCGGCAAAGCUAAUGCUCUGAAGGAGGAAAAGAAAUAUGUUGCGAUGUUCUCAAGACGUAUAUCAAAGAUGUUUCAGUCCCCAGAUCUGGUUGUUAAUCUCAAAGUAAUCUCAAAGUUACCAUUACUCCUGUGGUCCAGUUGGAAGCACAGUCUCAAUGUGGAUCAUGAAA